UACGGAGGGAGCUAGCGUUGUUCGGAAUUACUGGGCGUAAAGCGCGCGUAGGCGGCUUUGUAAGUCAGAGGUGAAAUCCCGAGGCUCAACUCCGGAACUGCCUUUGAAACUGCAUCGCUUGAAUCCGGGAGAGGUGAGUGGAAUUCCGAGUGUAGAGGUGAAAUUCGUAGAUAUUCGGAAGAACACCAGUGGCGAAGGCGGCUCACUGGACCGGCAUUGACGCUGAGGUGCGAAAGCGUGGGGAGCAAACAGG
rnacentral:rRNA from 1 species